rnacentral:snRNA from 1 species
AUCACUUCUCGGCCUUUUGGCUAAGAUCAAGUGUAGCAUCUGUUCUUAUCAGUUUAAUAUAUCUGCUAUGUCCUCUAUCUGAGGACAAUAUAUUAAAUGGAUUUUUGGAGCAGGGAGAUGUAAUAGGAGCUUGCUCCAUCCACUCCACGCGUCGACCUUGCAGUACUUCCAGGAAUGGUGCACGUCCU